AAGUAGUCAUGUUGGGAGUCUGGCUCUCGAGAUUCGGAGGACGGUGCCUCUUCGAUUUUGGAGCAAGCAAUCUUGUUGGGAGUGUUUUCUCGAAUGUGAGUAAAGGUUGGGCAUGUUUGCUAGUCUACCUUGCCACGAAGAAGCACAGAGGUUGACACACAGGGACUUUCCAAUUAUCCAGCAGUGGUACUGUUCCUUUACCCUUGUGGGUAAUAAUAUGGUAGCUAGACCUUCAAAAUUUAUGUGUCUAAACUUUGUUAGUGCUGUUUCUUUGCUAUUCUUUUACCUUUCUUGAUCAGAGCGAUGUAGUGGGAGCUGCAAGCUUCACGUGCUCAACUUUGGCAGAGAACUUUGGCAAAGUUAUCUGUGGUACCCAUGAGCUAUUGUUGCGUGUGGGAAGUGGGUGAUUGAACAGUAAGAUUCAUGUGCUUUCUACUUCACCAGAAGUCUUCGAUAGAAUGCCCAUAAUUUCUGCAAAGCUGAGUGUGCGUGUGACAAGUGCUGACAAGGCUAGAAAAGUAGGUGCCUCUUCGAUUUCUGAGAUCGGCCCUCGUGGUCUCUGAGCAGCCCAGCUUUUGAGAAAGCGAGCGCCUCUUCGAUUGAUUCGGAGAACGAUGCCUCAUCGAUUUUUGAGAAAGCAAUCAUGCUGGGGGUCUGGCUCUCGAAGAUUCGGGGAGUAGUGUCUCUUCGAUUUUUGAGAAAGUAAUCAUGUUGGGAGUCUGGCUCUCGAGAUUCGGAGGGCGGUGCCUCUUCGAUUUUGGAGCAAGCAAUCUUGUUGGGAGUGUUUUCUCGAAUGUGAGUAAAGGUUGGGCAUAUUUGCUAGUCUACCUUGCCACGAAGCACAGAGGUUGACACACAGGGACUUUCCAAUUAUCCAGCAAUGGUACUGUUCCUUUACCCUCUCUUCGAUUUUUAAGAAAGUAGUCAUGUUGGGAGUCUGGCUCUCGAGAUUCGGAGGACGGUGCCUCUUCGAUUUUGGAGCAAGCAAUCUUAUUGGGAGUGUUUUCUCGAAUGUGAGUAAAG
rnacentral:lncRNA from 1 species